rnacentral:rRNA from 1 species
UACGUAGGGUGCAAGCGUUAAUCGGAAUUACUGGGCGUAAAGCGUGCGCAGGCGGUUAUAUAAGACAGUUGUGAAAUCCCCGGGCUCAACCUGGGAACUGCAUCUGUGACUGUAUAGCUAGAGUACGGUAGAGGGGGAUGGAAUUCCGCGUGUAGCAGUGAAAUGCGUAGAUAUGCGGAGGAACACCGAUGGCGAAGGCAAUCCCCUGGACCUGUACUGACGCUCAUGCACGAAAGCGUGGGAGCAACAGG